GCCUAAGGCCAUACCAUCCAGAACAUGCCCUAUCUUAUCUGAUCUUGGAAGCUAAGCAGGGUCAGGCUUGGUUAGUAUUUGGAUGGGAGACAGAGCUUCAGAAGAGACU
rnacentral:rRNA from 1 species